GGAGAACAGACUGCAUAGGGUCAGGAUGGAAGCCCGGCAGACCUGCUAGGAAGCCAUUGCUAUUGUCAGGACUGAUAAGAAAGAACCUGAAAUUAUCAGCAUCGAUCAUCUCUGUCUGGUGAGAUUAUUGUGUGCUGCCUGGACCAGGGUGAAACCAAGGAAAAGGUGCUAUCUGUGCCCACUCUGCCGGAGUCUGGAGUCAACCCACCCCUGCUGCUAAUACAGCUACUGACAGUAAUAGCCAAGCAGCUGUGGUUUCCCUGAACUUGAUCCCCUGGAUCUUCAGGACAGAGAAAGUCAGAUGGAGGUCGAAAUUGAAUUGCUGCUGACUGUUGUCCCUUGUUAUGGCCUGUGGAGAUAUGACAAUUGAGGAAGAACUUAGAGGAAUGCCAAGUAGCAGAGCAUGAAGCAGUGGGUGUGGCCCAGUGCCUUGGAUGUUUUAUGGCUGAUAGCACUUGGCAAGAAAAAAAUGCAGCCUCGAUAGUAGCCUUGCAAAUAGAUUUCAAUAUGAACCAUGUCCCCACACACAAUGCUUUGAUUUGCCCUUUUAUAUAUGCAUUUGUCAAAAUCCACUCUUCUUAUACUCACAUACCACCUCACUGCUUCCCUUGCAAAAUACCUAAAUAACUAAAUAAAUCACAC